GCUUUUGUUUUUUCUCCGUUGAUAUGGUUUUCUUCAUUUGAUGUGCAAACACACCUUUUUACCAUUAUGGCUAUUUUUCUUCCAAUUCCUCAUAUGGUGUCUUGCAUCAGUGAUGUAAGUUCUCUAGGACUCUUAGAAGCAGUUGACUCCACAUUUUAUGUAUUAUAAGAUAACACAAGUGCAUGAAUUUCUUUCUUUCUUUCUUAAUUCGAAUUCUGUUGUGAAUGGUGUUCAUUGUAUUUCAUUCAGUUAUCUACACUAGUCGAAAAAUACUAAAGCAGUUGCAGAAUCUUUAAAUUAUACUUCAUUUUAGUUUGGGAUGAUAUAAAAAUGUUAAGAGGAUGGUCACAUAUUGCUAUAUCACUUUUUUUGUCAAGAUUUGCUACUUUUUAAAUAGAAGCACACCCAUUACGUAAUUUGAAUUUUUGUAAUAGAACUAUAUACUUACUUUUUUUAGUUGAAUAUGAAUUAAG
rnacentral:lncRNA from 1 species